rnacentral:ncRNA from 1 species
UAAAACCACAAGGGGAGCUUGCAGAGGCAGGCUGAGAGUAAGCGGCAGCUUUGACCCGUAACCUGAUUUGGAUAAUGCCAACGUAGGGAAAGAAAAGGGACUUCACC